rnacentral:rRNA from 1 species
UGAGUGGCAGACGGGUGAGUAACGCGUGGGAACGUGCCCUUCAGUUCGGGAUAACCCAGGGAAACUUGGGCUAAUACCGGAUACGUGCGAGAGCAGAAAGAUUUAUCGCUGAAGGAUCGGCCCGCGUCUGAUUAGCUAGUUGGUGAGGUAAUGGCUCACCAAGGCGACGAUCAGUAGCUGGUCUGAGAGGAUGAUCAGCCACAUUGGGACUGAGACACGGCCCAAACUCCUACGGGAGGCAGCAGUGGGGAAUAUUGGACAAUGGGCGCAAGCCUGAUCCAGCCAUGCCGCGUGAGUGAUGAAGGCCUUAGGGUUGUAAAGCUCUUUCGUCCGGGACGAUAAUGACGGUACCGGAAGAAGAAGCCCCGGCUAACUUCGUGCCAGCAGCCGCGGUAAUACGAAGGGGGCUAGCGUUGUUCGGAAUCACUGGGCGUAAAGGGCGCGUAGGCGGCUUUAUAAGUCGGGGGUGAAAGCCUGUGGCUCAACCACAGAAUUGCCUUCGAUACUGUAUGGCUUGAGACCGGAAGAGGUAAGUGGAACUGCGAGUGUAGAGGUGAAAUUCGUAGAUAUUCGCAAGAACACCAGUGGCGAAGGCGGCUUACUGGUCCGGUUCUGACGCUGAGGCGCGAAAGCGU